GAUGAACGCUGGCGGCGUGCUUAACACAUGCAAGUCGAACGGAAAGGCUCCAGCUUUCUGGGGUGCUCGAGUGGCGAACGGGUGAGUAACACGUAAGUGAUCUGCACCUGCACUGGGGGAUAAGCUUGGGAAACUGGGUCUAAUACCCUAUAGGACCGCAUCGUGGUUGGUGUGGUGGAAAGGUUUUUCUGGUGUGGGAUGAGCUUGCGGCCUAUCAGCUUGUUGGUGGGGUAAUGGCCUACCAAGGCGGCGACGGGUAGCCGGCCUGAGAGGGUGUGCGGCCACAUUGGGACUGAGAUACGGCCCAGACUCCUACGGGAGGCAGCAGUGGGGAAUUUUGCACAAUGGGCGGAAGCCUGAUGCAGCGACGCCGUGUGGGGGAUGAAGGCCUUCGGGUUGUAAACUCCUUUCGUCA
rnacentral:rRNA from 1 species